rnacentral:rRNA from 1 species
AGUGAACGCUGGCGGUAGGCCUAACACAUGCAAGUCGAACGGCAGCACAGUAAGAGCUUGCUCUUACGGGUGGCGAGUGGCGGACGGGUGAGGAAUACAUCGGAAUCUACUUUUUCGUGGGGGAUAACGUAGGGAAACUUACGCUAAUCCCGCAUACGACCUACGGGUGAAAGCAUGGGAUCUUCGGACCUUGCGCGAUUGAAUGAGCCGAUGUCGGAUUAGCUAGUUGGCGGGGUAAAGGCCCACCAAGGCGACGAUCCGUAGCUGGUCUGAGAGGAUGAUCAGCCACACUGGAACUGAGACACGGUCCAGACUCCUACGGGAGGCAGCAGUGGGGAAUAUUGGACAAUGGGCGCAAGCCUGAUCCAGCCAUACCGCGUGGGUGAAGAAGGCCUUCGGGUUGUAAAGCCCUUUUGUUGGGAAAGAAAAGCAGCAGGUUAAUACCCCGCUGUUCUGACGGUACCCAAAGAAUAAGCACCGGCUAACUUCGUG